rnacentral:misc_RNA from 1 species
AGCUGAUCGCCCGCGCGCAGCCCGAGGGCCCGGCCGUGUUCGUGCAUUCCUCCGGGAGCACCGGCAAGCCCAAGGGGGUGGUGCUGUCGCAUCGUAACCUGUUGGCCGGCGUUCGAAAUGCCUAUCGAGGCGGAGCGUUCCAGUUCGGCGAGAGCAUUCUGGCCUAUCUGCCGAUGGCCUGGGUUGGCGACUUCGCGGUGACGAUGGGCGCCGGAAUCGCCCUGCACUUCACGAUCAAUAUUCCAGAGC